UUUGGUGAACAUAUAAAGUUAUAGGU
rnacentral:piRNA from 1 species